CAACAACGGAAAGGAGGUGAUCCAGUGUCUCAUUGUCAUCAGCCGCGGUCGUCGGCGGACUUGGCCUGGAUCGUCGCCUCCGGCCUUUGCGCCUGAGCGCCGAUUGAGGAAGCCGCCGGACCGCGGUCCGGCAAUGGAAGGGCCGCUCCGGAAACGGAGCGGCCCU
rnacentral:sRNA from 1 species